rnacentral:rRNA from 1 species
GACGAACGCUGGCGGCGUGCCUAACACAUGCAAGUCGAACGGAGUUACCCUUCGGGGUAGCUUAGUGGCGAACGGGUGAGUAACGCGUGAAGAACCUGCCUUUCAGUGGGGGACAACAGUUGGAAACGACUGCUAAUACCGCAUAAUGUCAUUUGGGGGCAUCCCCGAAUGACCAAAGAUUUAUUGCUGAAAGAUGGCUUCGCGUCUGAUUAGCUAGUUGGUGAGGUAACGGCUCACCAAGGCGACGAUCAGUAGCCGGUCUGAGAGGAUGAACGGCCACAUUGGGACUGAGAUACGGCCCAG